AGAGUUUGAUCCUGGCUCAGAAUCAACGCUGGCGGCGCGCCUAACACAUGCAAGUCGCACGAGAAAGCCGCAAGGUGAGUAAAGUGGCAGACGGGUGAGUAACACGUGGAUCAUCUACCCUUUGAUGGGGAAUAACCCUGGGAAACCGGGGCUAAUACCGCAUAAGUCCGAGAGGAGAAAGCCGAAAGGCGUCGAAGGAAGAGUCCGCGGCCGAUUAGCUAGUUGGCGGGGUAACGGCCCACCAAGGCGAAGAUCGGUAGCCGGCCUGAGAGGGCACACGGCCACACUGGCACUGAGAUACGGGCCAGACUCCUACGGGAGGCAGCAGUGGGGAAUCUUGCACAAUGGGGGAAACCCUGAUGCAGCGACGCCGCGUGAGUGAUGAAGUCCUUCGGGAUGUAAAGCUCUUUCGACAGGAACGAUAAUGACGGUACCUGGAGAAGAAGCUGCGGCUAACUACGUGCCAGCAGCCGCGGUAAUACGUAGGCAGCAAGCGUUGUUCGGAAUUAUUGGGCGUAAAGAGUAUGUAGGCGGUUCGCUAAGUCUGAUGUGAAAUCUCCUGGCUUAACUGGGAGGGUGCGUCGGAUACUGGCGGGCUCGAGUGCGGGAGAGGGAAGCGGAAUUCCUGGUGUAGCGGUGAAAUGCGUAGAUAUCAGGAGGAACACCGGUGGUGUAGACGGCUUCCUGGACCGUAACUGACGCUGAGAUACGAAAGCGUGGGUAGCAAACAGGAUUAGAUACCCUGGUAGUCCACGCCCUAAACGAUGCGGACUUGGUGUAGGCAGUUCAGUCUGUCUGUG
rnacentral:rRNA from 1 species